GGCCAGACUCCUACGGGAGGCAGCAGUGGGGAAUAUUGCACAAUAGGGGAAACCCUGAUGCAGCGACGCCGCGUGAGUGAAGAAGUAUUUCGGUAUGUAAAGCUCUAUCAGCAGGGAAGAAAAUGACGGUACCUGACUAAGAAGCCCCGGCUAACUACGUGCCAGCAGCCGCGGUAAUACGUAGGGGGCAAGCGUUAUCCGGAUUUACUGGGUGUAAAGGGAGCGUAGACGGCAUGGCAAGUCAGAUGUGAAAGCCCGGGGCUCAACCCCGGGACUGCAUUUGAAACUGUCAGGCUGGAGUGCAGGAGAGGUAAGUGGAAUUCCUAGUGUAGCGGUGAAAUGCGUAGAUAUUAGGAGGAACACCAGUGGCGAAGGCGGCUUACUGGACUGUAACUGACGUUGAGGCUCGAAAGCGUGGGGAGCAAACAGGAUUAGAUACCCGCGUA
rnacentral:rRNA from 1 species